rnacentral:misc_RNA from 1 species
CAACCUUCAAGCGCGGCUUGUGUAUUGGGCCUCGUCCCCCGUGGACGGGCCUGAAAGGCAGUGGCGGUACCGAUUUCGGUGCCUGAGCGUAUGGGGAUCAUCUCCGCUCUUUAGGCCCGGUCGGCGCCCGUCGUCACCAAAUUUUUUACC